GCCAGCGACAUCCACGUUCAAUGAGUGAAUAAACAAAAACAGCUGGGGUCUCUCGUUGUGGCAUACAACACAUUACAAGGUUUCUGUCUGCAGCAUACCGGACACUAAAAUCUGUCAUCCACGACAAACUAAAUCGAGUCCCAGAGAUGUUGUUGCACACCUGGUCUGACUUUUCCACGGGCCUCCUGACUCAGAAAUAAGCACCGACACUGUGAUUCAAGACUCUCUCCAUCAGUUAUUUUCUGCCUUCGCAAAUAUUUGAUGGACCAAUCCAAGGGCGACCAGCUGCUUCUCACACCCAGCAGAAAAUACAGAAGUUUGAAUACACCACCCAACAAACUCAAGAACAGCUUCUCUGCUGUUAUCAGACUUUUGAAUGAACUGCU